rnacentral:misc_RNA from 1 species
UGGUGGGCGCGCUCAUCCUGC